rnacentral:misc_RNA from 1 species
UUAAGUUCAGCGGGUAUCCCUACCUGAUCCGAGGUCAAGAGUGUAAAAAAGUACUUUUUGGACGUCGUCGUUAUGAGUGCAAAGCGCGAGAUGUACUGCGCUCCGAAAUCAAUACGCCGGCUGCCAAUUGUUUUAAGGCGAGUACACGCAAGGGCGAGACAAACACCCAACACCAAGCAGAGCUUGAAGGUACAAAUGAC